GCCCGACCCCAGCUUGCUCUUGAAGAAGCUGGUCUGCCACUACCUCCCGGCAUAUACUCGGUGGCCAUUGAUGCAGACUCUUAGGCACUGACCAGGAAGCUCAAGAGAUGAGGCAAGUGCAUAGUUGUGAUCUCAUCUGAAGUGCGGCAGAAACAUGGACGAAGACGAUAAUGGGUGAAGCCUUGCAAAAGGUAGUGCCCCACUGGACAAUAUGUGAGUUGAUGUGCGUCCUACUGAGCCUGUGCAUUAAUACAAGAUAGUAGUAUUUUGAGAUUAUCUACCACAGAUAAUGAAGUGAUGUUCCUCUCUUACAAGAGCUCUAGACUGAAGUUCAAAGAAGCACCUAGUGCAACCCAUCAAAUAUGUUGUAUUUUUAGCUCUAGAUUUUAAAGCUAGCAGC